rnacentral:rRNA from 1 species
GACGAACGCUGGCGGCGUGCUUAACACAUGCAAGUCGAACGGAAAGGCCCUGCUUUUGUGGGGUGCUCGAGUGGCGAACGGGUGAGUAACACGUGAGUAACCUGCCCUUGACUUUGGGAUAACUUCAGGAAACUGGGGCUAAUACCGGAUAGGAGCUCCUGCUGCAUGGUGGGGGUUGGAAAGUUUCGGCGGUUGGGGAUGGACUCGCGGCUUAUCAGCUUGUUGGUGGGGUAGUGGCUUACCAAGGCUUUGACGGGUAGCCGGCCUGAGAGGGUGACCGGCCACAUUGGGACUGAGAUACGGCCCAGACUCCUACGGGAGGCAGCAGUGGGGAAUAUUGCACAAUGGGAGGAAGCCUGAUGCAGCAACGCCGCGUGCGGGAUGACGGCCUUCGGGUUGUAAACCGCUUUCGCCUGUGACGAAGCGUGAGUGACGGUAAUGGGGAAAGAAGCACCGGCUAACUACGU